rnacentral:piRNA from 1 species
UGGUAAGACUUGCUUGUCCUUCACUCAGG